rnacentral:rRNA from 1 species
AGUGAACGCUGGCGGUAGGCCUAACACAUGCAAGUCGAACGGCAGCACAGUAAGAGCUUGCUCUUACGGGUGGCGAGUGGCGGACGGGUGAGGAAUACAUCGGAAUCUACUUUUUCGUGGGGGAUAACGUAGGGAAACUUACGCUAAUACCGCAUACGAACUACGGGUGAAAGCAGGGGAUCUUCGGACCUUGCGCGAUUGAAUGAGCCGAUGUCGGAUUAGCUAGUUGGCGGGGUAAAGGCCCACAAAGGCGACGAUCCGUAGCUGGUCUGAGAGGAUGAUCAGCCACACUGGAACUGAGACACGGUCCAGACUCCUACGGGAGGCAGCAGUGGGGAAUAUUGGACAAUGGGCGCAAGCCUGAUCCAGCCAUACCGCGUGGGUGAAGAAGGCCUUCGGGUUGUAAAGCCCUUUUGUUGGGAAAGAAAAGCAGCAGGUUAAUACCCCGCUGUUCUGACGGUACCCAAAGAAUAAGCACCGGCUAACUUCGUG